rnacentral:misc_RNA from 1 species
UACUCUCAACCCCUGGGGUCUUUAAGCGGACCACCUCGGGCUUGGAUCAUGGACGCUGCCGGCCCUCUCGGGGGUGUGGCUUGUCUGAAAUACAUGAGCUGACCUGUCUGCGAACAGCACGGUUUGACUCGGCGUAAUAAAUCCAUUUUUCGUCGGGGACACCCUUUGCGGGGUGGCCGGGCUCGCGGUCUUCGGGUUCCUUACAAUCGAAUAGUCCCAUCUAU